UUUCCGGUUGAUCCUGCCGGACCUGACUGCUAUCGGAUUGAUACUAAGCCAUGCGAGUCUUUGCAGUAAUGCAAGGCAUACGGCUCAGUAACACGUAGUCAACUUACCCUAUGGACGAGGAUAAUCUCGGGAAACUGAGCAUAAUACUCGAUAGAUCAUAAUGCCUGGAAUGGUUUAUGGUUGAAAUGAUUCGUCGCCAUAGGAUGGGACUGCGGCCUAUCAGCUUGUUGGUGAGGUAAUGGCCCACCAAGGCGAUUACAGGUACGGGCUCUGAGAGGAGAAGCCCGGAGAUGGGUACUGAGACAAGGACCCAGGCCCUAUGGGGCGCAGCAGGCGAGAAAACUUUGCAAUGUGCGAAAGCACGACAAGGUUAAUCCGAGUGAUUUCUGCUAAAGGAAUCUUUUGCAAGUCAUAAAACCACUAGUGAAUAAGGGGUGGGCAAGUUCUGGUGUCAGCCGCCGCGGUAAAACCAGCACCUCAAGUGGUCAGGAGGAUUAUUGGGCCUAAAGCAUCCGUAGCCGGCUCUGUAAGUUUUCGGUUAAAUCCAUGUGCUCAACGCAUGGGCUGCCGAAAAUACUGCAUAGCUAGGGAGUGGGAGAGGUAGACGGUACUCAGUAGGAAGGGGUAAAAUCCUUUGAUCUAUUGAUGACCACCUGUGGCGAAGGCGGUCUACCAGAACACGUUCGACGGUGAGGGAUGAAAGCUGGGGGAGCAAACCGGAUUAGAUACCCGGGUAGUCCCAGCUGUAAACGAUGCAGACUCGAUGAUGCAUUGGCAUAUAGCCAGUGCAGUGUCGCAGGGAAGCCGUUAAGUCUGCCGCCUGGGAAGUACGUACGCAAGUAUGAAACUUAAAGGAAUUGGCGGGGGAGCACCACAAGGGGUGAAGCCUGCGGUUCAAUUGGAGUCAACGCCGGGA
rnacentral:rRNA from 1 species